UACAUACUCCCUCCCUCUAAAAUUACUUGUUGCGGAAAUUGAUGUAUCUAGACGUAUUUUAGUUCUAGAUACAUCCAUUUUUAUCCAAUUCAGGGACAAGUAAUUCCGGACGGAGGGAGUACAUG
rfam:Triticum aestivum genome assembly, contig: Triticum_aestivum_CS42_TGACv1_scaffold_622330_7DS